rnacentral:rRNA from 1 species
AGAGUUUGAUCAUGGCUCAGGAUGAACGCUAGCGGCAGGCUUAACACAUGCAAGUCGAGGGGUAUAGUUCUUCGGAGCUAGAGACCGGCGCACGGGUGCGUAACGCGUAUGCAACCUACCUUUUACAGAGGGAUAGCCCAGAGAAAUUUGGAUUAAUACCUCAUAGUAUGUGAGAAUCGCAUGGUUUUCACAUUAAAGUCACAACGGUAAAAGAUGAGCAUGCGUCCCAUUAGCUUGUUGGUAAGGUAACGGCUUACCAAGGCAACGAUGGGUAGGGGUCCUGAGAGGGAGAUCCCCCACACUGGUACUGAGACACGGACCAGACUCCUACGGGAGGCAGCAGUGAGGAAUAUUGGACAAUGGGCGCAAGCCUGAUCCAGCCAUGCCGCGUGCAGGAUGACGGUCCUAUGGAUUGUAAACUGCUUUUGUACAGGAAGAAACACUCCCUCGUGAGGGAGCUUGACGGUACUGUAAGAAUAAGGAUCGGCUAACUCCGUGCCAGCUGCCGCGGUAAUACGAAGGAUCCAAGCGUUAUCCGGAAUCCUUGGGUUUAAAGGGUCC